rnacentral:rRNA from 1 species
GGAGUUAGCCGGUGCUUCUUCUGCGAGUAACGUCACAGAUGUAAGGUAUUAACUUACACCCUUUCCUCCUCGCUGAAAGUGCUUUACAACCCGAAGGCCUUCUUCACACACGCGGCAUGGCUGCAUCAGGGUUUCCCCCAUUGUGCAAUAUUCCCCACUGCUGCCUCCCGUAGGAGUCUGGGCCGUGUCUCAGUCCCAGUGUGGCUGAUCAUCCUCUCAGACCAGCUAGGGAUCGUCGCCUAGGUGAGCCUUUACCUCACCUACUAGCUAAUCCCACCUGGGCUUAUCCAUCAGCGCAAGGCCCGAAGGUCCCCUGCUUUCCCCCGUAGGGCGUAUGCGGUAUUAGCAGUCGUUUCCAACUGUUAUCCCCCACAAAUGGGCAAAUUCCCAGGCAUUACUCACCCGUCCGCCGCUCGUCAUCUUCAAAAGCAAGCUUUUGAAAUGUUACCGCUCGACUUGCAUGUGUUAGGCCUGCCGCCAGCGUCAUCUGAGCGAGAUACAACUACUGA